rnacentral:rRNA from 1 species
CCUACGGGAGGCAGCAGUGAGGAAUAUUGGUCAAUGGACGGAAGUCUGAACCAGCCACUUCGCGUGCAGGAUGACUGCCCUAUGGGUUGUAAACUGCUUUUAUAUUGGAAGAGUUGCGCUUACGAGUUAAGCGUUUGACGGUACAUUAUGAAUAAGGAUCGGCUAACUCCGUGCCAGCAGCCGCGGUAAU